rnacentral:rRNA from 1 species
GACGAACGCUGGCGGCGUGCUUAACACAUGCAAGUCGAACGGAAAGGCCCUGCUUGUGUGGGGUGCUCGAGUGGCGAACGGGUGAGUAACACGUGAGUAACCUGCCCUUGACUUUGGGAUAACUUCAGGAAACUGGGGCUAAUACCGGAUAUGAGCUCCGGCUUCAUGGUGGGGGUUGGAAAGGUUCGGCGGUUGGGGAUGGACUCGCGGCUUAUCAGCUUGUUGGUGGGGUAGUGGCUUACCAAGGCUUUGACGGGUAGCCGGCCUGAGAGGGUGACCGACCACAUUGGGAGUGAAAUACGGCCGAGACACCUACGGGAGGCAGGAGUGGGGAAUAUUGCAUAAUGGGCGGAAGCCUGAUGCAGCAACGCAGGGUGCGGGAUGACGGCAUUCGGGUUGUAAACCGCUUUCGCCUGUGACGAAGCGUGGGUGACGGUAAUGGGUAAAGAAGCACCGGCAAACUACGU